CUCGAGCGGCGAACGGGUGAGUAACACGUGAGCAACCUGCCCCAGGCUUUGGGAUAACCCCGGGAAACCGGGGCUAAUACCGAAUAUGACCUUGCACCGCAUGGUGUUUGGUGGAAAGUUUUUCGGCUUGGGAUGGGCUCGCGGCCUAUCAGCUUGUUGGUGGGGUGAUGGCCUACCAAGGCGACGACGGGUAGCCGGCCUGAGAGGGCGACCGGCCACACUGGGACUGAGACACGGCCCAGACUCCUACGGGAGGCAGCAGUGGGGAAUAUUGCACAAUGGGCGGAAGCCUGAUGCAGCGACGCCGCGUGAGGGAUGACGGCCUUCGGGUUGUAAACCUCUUUCAGCAGGGACGAAGCGUAAGUGACGGUACCUGCAGAAGAAGCGCCGGCCAACUACGUGCCAGCAGCCGCGGUAAGACGUAGGGCGCGAGCGUUGUCCGGAUUUAUUGGGCGUAAAGAGCUCGUAGGCGGCUUGUCGCGUCGACUGUGAAAACCCGCAGCUCAACUGCGGGCCUGCAGUCGAUACGGGCAGGCUAGAGUUCGGUAGGGGAGACUGGAAUUCCUGGUGUAGCGGUGAAAUGCGCAGAUAUCAGGAGGAACACCGGUGGCGAAGGCGGGUCUCUGGGCCGAUACUGACGCUGAGGAGCGAAAGCGUGGGGAGCGAACAGGAUUAGAUACCCUGGUAGUCCACGCUGUAAACGUUGGGCGCUAGGUGUGGGGGGCCUCUCCGGUUCCCUGUGCCGCAGCUA
rnacentral:rRNA from 1 species